GAGAAAUGAAGUCACAACUGACGCCGAUUGCGGCUCAUCGUAAGGCAGUUUGCUUGCGUGGUCCGCCAGCUGCCUAGCGAAGGGCAACAAGCGGUUAUGUUGUUCUACCCUC
rnacentral:pre_miRNA from 1 species